CGGGGAGUAGCUCAGCUUGGUAGAGCACUUGGUUUGGGACCAAGGGGUCGCAGGUUCAAAUCCUGUCUUCCCGA
rfam:Bacillus sp. LL01 scaffold4.1, whole genome shotgun sequence.